UGAGGAAUAUUGGUCAAUGGGCGGGAGCCUGAACCAGCCAAGCCGCGUGAGGGAAGAAGGCCCUAUGGGUCGUAAACCUCUUUUGUCAGGGAACAAAAGCGAGUAUGUAUACUAGUCUGAGUGUACCUGAAGAAAAAGCAUCGGCUAACUCCGUGCCAGCAGCCGCGGUAAUACGGAGGAUGCGAGCGUUAUCCGGAUUUAUUGGGUUUAAAGGGUGCGUAGGCGGCGAUGCAAGUCAGCGGUAAAAGCCCGGGGCUCAACCCCGGCGAGCCGUUGAAACUGCAGUGCUAGAGAAGGCGAGAGGUAUGCGGAAUGCGCGGUGUAGCGGUGAAAUGCUUAGAUAUUGCGCAGAACUCCGAUUGCGAAGGCAGCGUACUGGCGCCUGACUGACGCUGAGGCACGAAAGCGUGGGGAUCGAACAGGAUUAGAUACC
rnacentral:rRNA from 1 species